rnacentral:misc_RNA from 1 species
GAAUUAAAUGUUUGGUAUGGGCCUGAUUCCUACAUGGGUGCAAAUAUUGUUGAACUGUUGCAGCAGAUGACCAAGAUGACAGAUGAAGAAAUUGCAAAGAUUCAUCCAAAACAUAAUAGGGAGUCAAUUAGAUCAUUGCUCCCUCGUCUGCACUAUUAUCAGGAAGGUACGUGCAUUGUACAUCAUCUUUUUCGGCAUGAAGUUG